CAUCUAUUUGACUAUUUCCCCGCAACCACACAAAUAUCAUCUCUAUCUCUCUCUUGGCUGGCCAACUAAGCACAAACACACACACACACUCCUCACACCUCUCUCUCACUCUCUCACCGGUGCUCACUCCACCAUUGUUUUUUCCGACGGGAUUCACCCGAAAAAACCGUCUUAGUUGACCUCUUUUUGGAGCUUUGGAAGUUAGGCUUUUGUGGAUUACAAGAUAAGUGGCUUCUUAAUGAAUUCUUUUGAUAAUGGAUUUCAUGAAAUUGUUGUAUUGUUGCAAUUUCUAAAGAUGCAUAGACUAGUAAUAUUUGGGAAAUUGAUAGAAAAUAUUAUUGACAAUGAAUGGUUUUAAAGACCUUGAGAAUUUUAUGGAUUUCUUGGUUAUUGGACAAUUUUAUGAAACUAAUUGAAGUAAACUAUGUGUUUUGAAUAUAUUUAACUUGUGAGCUUUUGAUGUGAUUUGUCAUUGUACAAUGAUAUUGGUGAUUGCCCUGUCUUUGUGACAGCUUCUGUGUAACGUGUGAUUGCCCCUGCCUUUGUAAUGACGUCUUUGUGACGUGUGAUUAUCUUGUCUUUGUAUUGACAUCUUUGUGGCUAUGAUCAUCAUAAUGAAACUUGCAUUUCCCCUACCCCUACCCUUAUUAAUUAUGCUACUUACUGGGCUCUUCUCAUCCCCUUCUUUCACCAACUUUUUCAGAGUAGGCAGCGACCCUUUUGUAAUAAGUUUUUGUGGCUAGAUAGUUAGACAACUACUGAUGGAGACUGGACUUUUGUGGUAAUUAUCCUUAGGUAUUGUACAUUCUAGAGGAUACUUGACACAUUCUUUUGUAACUAAUAAUAAUGAUGACUUUUAUCCCUGAUGGGACAAAUUAUUGAUGAGUAAUUAUAAUUUUUCAGA